UAUUCAAGCUGGGCAAUUGCUGCUGAGCAAUAAAAUGCUCGAGUAGAGGAAAGUCCGAACUCCACAGAACAAGGUGCCGGGUAACGCCCGGGGUUCCGUCCCGCUUGCGGGAACGGGAUACGGAAAGUGCCACAGAAAAUAUACCGUCCCGCUUUGCGGGAUAAGGGUGAAAUGGCAGGGUAAGAGCCUACCGCUUCGGUAGUAAUACCGGAGGUCUCAUUUAUGAGAGCCCCGAUUAUUCGGGGUCAAGGAAAACCCCACCUGGAGCAAGGUCAUGUAUAGGGAGUUUUCGGGUAACCGGAUAAGGGUUGUUCGCUCUUCGUCUCCCGGGGUGGACCGCAAGAUUCCGGCAGCAAUGCCGGAACCAGACAAAUAAUUGCCGUCCCGUUUACUUUUACCGCAAGGUAAAAACUUACGGGAUUACAGAAUUCGGCUUAUAGGUUUGGAUAUUUA
rnacentral:RNase_P_RNA from 1 species